rnacentral:lncRNA from 1 species
UUAACUCCUUCCAUUGUUAUUUUCUGUUGUUACCUCUAUUCAUCCAUUCUCAUCAUAUAUAUGGAUGUAUAUAUUGUAUUGUUAUGCUGUACUGUAUGUAGCAUAUUGUAUUGUUUUACACUGUUAGUGUGUGGAUAAUUUUAAAUGCACUUUAUUUAAAGCUUGGUGUGAUGUAUUUCUCUGCCGCCCUUCAGGCCAGUGCCCCACCCUGAACCUGAUGAUAAGGACCCGGGGCAACGUGACAUCGGUGAACAAGCAGGCGGUGAGCUCCCGGGUCAGCACCAUGAGGGAGUACUCCCACCCCUCCUCAGCCCACAGGUCUCAUACUCUCCAACCUGAACUUCAUUAUAAUAGGCAUUUGAAUUGGGAGAGUUUGGCAUUUUUUAAAUGGUUACAACCCAAGCCAGGUGAGGGCGGUGAGAAAACAGUAUGUCCAUCAUCAGAAACCAGCAACGCACCCCCAAAAUCUGCCUGAUACACGGACCCCCAGGAACAGGAAAGAGCAAAACCAUUGUGGGCCUGCUGCAAAAAACAUUUGCUGAGUACCAUGAGCUGGCAGAGAAAGUACAGACUGCUCCGAGAGAGACAGACUCGGCUACGAGCUAAAACAGUCUUGCAUUAGGAAGCAGGAGACCCAGCCCUGUGUCUUACAGGAUACGCAUGUGGUCUGCUGCACCCAGAGCACGAGCUGCAGCUCCGCCCUGGAGUCGGCCCUCCAGUGCCUGGGACAUGAGCCCUUCAGUUGCAUCAUCGUGGACGUGCCUAACCUGGCCAAACCUGGACGACACUGGGCCAAUUGUGCGCUGCCCUAUGGGACUCCCAAUCACGGCUGGAUGUGAUACACCCUGGAUUCAAACCAAGGAUUGUAGUGACGCCUUUUGCAUUGAGAUGCAGUGCCUUAGACCGCUGCGCCACUCAGGAACACCAGUCUUACCCAGUUUGACUGAAUCUCCUCUACUCGAUCUGUAUGAAUGUGAGGACCAACCCCUUGUCUUUGUGUUUGUUGUGUCUCCAUGGCACUGUGUGCAGGCAGGGCAGACCACUGAGACGGAGACACUCAUUCCCAUGCUCUACCUCAUCCUUGUGGGAGACCCUGAUCAGCUGCACCCUACUGUCAUCUCUGAGGACCUGAGCCCUAGGACCAUGCCUCAGGACUACCUGGUAUGAUGACUCCUUGCUGUCCCCAGUCCACCUGGCCGUGCUGCUGCUCCAGUUUCAACUGUUCUGCCUGCGGCUAUGGAACCCUGACCUGUUCACCGGACGUGCUUGUUGCACCCUCGACAACUACUAUGAUUAUUAUUAUUUGACCAUGCUGGUCAUUUAUGAACAUUUUAACAUUUUAACAUCUUGACCAUGUUCUGUUAUAAUAUCCACCCUGCACAGCCAGAAGAGGACUGGCCACCCCUCAUAGCCUGGUUCCUCUCUAGGUUUCUUCCUAGGUUUUUGGCCUUUCUAGGGAGUUUUUCCUAGGGAGUUUUUCCUAGCCACCGUGCUUCUUUCACAUGCUUUGCUUGCUGUUUGGGGUUUUAGGCUGGGUUUCUGUACAGCACUUUGAGAAUAUCAGCUGAUGUACGAAGGGCUAUAUAAAAAUAAAUUUGAUUUGAUUUGAUUUGAUCAUUUUGGAGUCACUUUUAUUGUAAAUAAGCAUAGAAUAUGUUUCUGAACAAUUCU